rnacentral:rRNA from 1 species
AACGAACGCUGGCGGCAUGCCUAACACAUGCAAGUCGAACGAGACCUUCGGGUCUAGUGGCGCACGGGUGCGUAACGCGUGGGAACCUGCCCUUAGGUUCGGAAUAACUCCCCGAAAGGGGUGCUAAUACCGGAUAAUGUCUUCGGACCAAAGAUUUAUCGCCUUUGGAUGGGCCCGCGUUGGAUUAGCUAGUUGGUAGGGUAAAAGCCUACCAAGGCGACGAUCCAUAGCUGGUCUGAGAGGAUGAUCAGCCACACUGGGACUGAGACACGGCCCAGACUCCUACGGGAGGCAGCAGUGGGGAAUAUUGGACAAUGGGCGAAAGCCUGAUCCAGCAAUGCCGCGUGAGUGAUGAAGGCCUUAGGGUUGUAAAGCUCUUUUACCCGGGAUGAUAAUGACAGUACCGGGAGAAAUAAGCUCCGGCUAACUCCGUG